rnacentral:rRNA from 1 species
GGUAAUUUGAACUACAGCAGACGACCCGUGAACAUGUAACCACAACGGGGUGACCGUGAUAAGGGCCUCGGUCCUUAUCCCCUAACCCUUCCCGACGUGAGUUCGUGGUGUCUUUUUUGGGGCAUCAUGGAUUCCGUUGGACCAUAACAAAACCCCGGCACGGUAUGUGCCAAGGAAAACAAAAAUGAGAAGGACACUACCUGUUUCGCCCCGUUUGCGGUGUGCGUACAGGUCGUGGCCUCCUUGGAAUCACAAACGACUCUCGGCAACGGAUAUCUCGGCUCACGCAUCGAUGAAGAACGUAGCAAAAUGCGAUACUUGGUGUGAAUUGCAGAAUCCCGUGAACCAUCGAGUUUUUGAACGCAAGUUGCGCCCGAAGCCAUCCGGCUGAGGGCACGCCUGCCUGGGCGUCACGCAUCGCGUCGCUCCCCACCAUACCUCCCCAACGGGUUGGCAUGGUGUUGGGGGCGGAUAAUGGCCUCCCGUGCUUGUGUUUCGGUUGGCCUAAAUAAGAGUUCCCUUCGGCGGACACACGACUAGUGGUGGUUGAAUAGACCCUCGUCUUUUGUUGCGUGUCGUGAGCUGUAAGGGUAGCCCUCAUCAAAGACCCCAUUGUAUCGUCUUCGGAUGAUGCUUCGACCGCGACCCCAGGUCAGGCGGGACUACCCGCUGAGUUUAAGCAUAUCAAAA